AACAAGUACCGUGAGGGAAAGAUCAAAAGCACUUUGAAAAGAGGGUGAAAAGAACCUGAAACCGUUACGAAGGAAGCGUAUUGCGUUGAACUGGUGGCUAUUAUUGUGUUCAGCCGGUUUUGGUGUAUUCACAAUUUGGCUAUCCGUCGUGCCUUUUCUGCAGCUGAUGUUGAGCUGCGGGAGAGGGAGGGAUCCCCUUUACGGGUUGAGGACGAUGGAGUGGCAACGCGAUGCGACCCGUCUUGAAACACGGACCAAGGAGUCUAACACAGUUGCGAGUUGAAGGGUGGCGAAACCUGGAGGCGCAGUGAAAGCGAAUUGUUAGAACUGGCAGUUUGUGGCGGCAUAAAAUCGUUGAUUUUAGGUCUGACCUAGAGCAGUUGUGUUAGGACCCGAAAGAUGGUGAACUAUGCUUGAGUAGGGCGAAGCCAGAAGAAAUUCUGGUGGAGGCCCGAAGCGGUGCUGACGUGCAAAUCGCUCGUCGAACUCGAGUAUAGGGGCGAAAGACUAAUCGAACCAUCUAGUAGCUGGUUCCCUCCGAAGUUUCUCUCAGGAUAGCGGGCCGACACUUAUUGUUUUGUGCGGUAAAGCGAAUGAUUAGCGCACGCGGGGACUCUUAGUCUUCGGUCGAUUCUCAAACUUUUAAUGCGCAAGGGCACCGGUGCUUUGUUGAGCGGUGCCGAUAAAAAUGUCGGCUUCGUGGGCCACUUUUGGUAAGCAGAACUGGCGAUGUGGGAUGAACCAUACGUGUGGUUAAGGCGCCAAAUUGCUCGCUUAUAGAUCCCAAAAAAGGUGUUGAUUCAUCGAGACAGCAGGACGGUGGCCAUGGAAGUCGGAAUCCGCUAAGGAGUGUGUAACAACUCACCUGCCGAAUGGAUUAGCCCUGAAAAUGGAUGGCGCUAAAGCGGGUAGCCGAUACCACGCCGUCUAUUUAAUGGAAAAGAAUAAUAGAUGAGUAGGAGGGCGUGGAGGUCGUAUCGAAGCAUGCGUGCAAACGUGUGUGGAACGGCCUCUAGUGCAGAUCUUGGUGGUAGUAGCAAAUAUUCAAGCGAGAUCCUUGAAGGGCGAAGCGGGGAAGGGUUCCACGCGAACAUUGAUUGGGCGUGGGUGAGUCGUUCCUAAGCCGGGUGGUAAUUGCUAUCUAGCGGCGAAAGGGAAGCGGGUUGAAAUUCCUGCACACGGAUGUGGAGGCGGUGACGCUUUAAUGAGACGAGCAUGUUGGCGGUUGCACUGGGCAGAGAUUUCUUUUCUGUUUAACCAGCUCGCGCGCUGUGUGGAAUCCGCUUGUCGGGAGAAACACGCGUACCGGGUAAGAGCGCCGGGAUAUUUUCGGCGUCCAGCUCGCGACCGACGGCCCUUGAAAACUUGUCUGCUGUAUUAAGAUCCACGCCGUGGCGUACCGAUAACCGCAUCAGGUCCCCAAGGUGAACAGCCUCUGUCUAAUAUGAAAAAUGCA
rnacentral:rRNA from 1 species